rnacentral:lncRNA from 1 species
UUGGCAGAUCCUUCCAAAUUUGAUCCAUUUACAUGUCCACAGCCUUGGGAGUUGGGAGCCACUUUUUCUUAUGUGUUUACUUGGUAGUUUCUGGUUCAAGAACUCACGUGAUUAGUCCAGUCAUACCAACCUAGACCUCGGCCAUUUGCAUUGACUAACCUCUUUCCUCUUGGCUGAAAAAAGAGGAUGGUAUGAGAGGAGCAAAGCAGGUUGGCCACUUCUCCUUUCUCCCUCCCUCUCCCCCCCCCUCUCUCUCUCCUCUCUCUCUCUCUCUCCUACUCCUCUCUCGUNNNNNNNNNNNNNNNNNNNNUCCCCCUCCCUCUCUCUCCUCUCUCUCUCUCUUCACCUUAUCCCUGCUUCGAGGACUCUCCUAGAUUUUGUCCUCACCCACCUUUCACUGGAGAACAAAAAUUUUAGUGAUUGGCUCCUCCCUUGGAUAGUUGGAGCUCUCUUCUUGCUCCCUCUGGCCUCUCCUUGCCAGCAGAUCUUUCUUUUCUCUAAUCACCAUUGAGGAAAGCAAGUUUCCAUCUUUUUGCUUUUUUGAUUUUAUUUAUUUUGAAAGAUCCAAAGUUUGUAGAAAGAUGAGUAAAAUCUAUGUUAUAUUGAUCCUGAUCCUUAUGGGUGGAGAAUUAAUCUGAUUGAAACCAAUUCUUUUGGUUAAUUUCCAAAUAUUUUGCAAUUGCCGAAUCUUGCAGUUGCUAAUCCUAUUAGUUAUAGCUUUGAAUCACAGAACUGUGGUUCCAAGCUGGAUGUGAUAGGGGACCAGAUUCGAACUGAUUUGGGGCCCUUUACUCAGAAGGAUUAAUUGUUGCAGAAGCAUGAUUCAUGCUAAACUAUUUGACAUCUGGUAUGCAUUACAACGAAAAGAUACAAAUGGGUGCUCUGCUCUGAAAAUGUUAAAAAAUAUCUUUUCUAAAAUACAUUACAGCGUUUUUCAUUGUAUGACAUGGUGUUUAUUUGUGUAUCAUUCUUUCCAAACACAAUCAAAAUAAUAUCCACUAAAAUUUUCUACUGGAUGUCUUCUAUAGAAAGGAUAAUUUCUUCAUUUCACGAGGAGUCAAGCCUUCUUAAUUUUCUUAAGACUUGGAAGAGUCCAAUUUCUGUUCAUCAAGUCAGCUGAUGUAAAAAUAACAACAAUAGUCAAUCUGUGCAUAUCACAAGGUACAUAGAGGGUGGAUUUUCAAUGGUUUGGGAGAGAACUUAUUUUUUUCAAUCACAACAUCCAAUAGAUAAUUGAAUAGGGAAUAAGUGUAUUUAAUCUUCAAUGUACUGCAAGGUAUGUAAUAGACAAAUCAUGAACUGUUGAUGUUCAUGAACAUAUUUGAUUGAAGAAGAUAUAGCUGUAAUCAAUGUUUAAUGCACCAAAAGGAAUAAAAUAGAUGCAUGACUCCUGCUAAGUUAAAUAGUACACCAAAAAUGGAAGUUCUUCCCUACUUUACAAUCAAUCUUCUUUCAUUUGAUAGCCUUUUCGAUACCUGUCAUCUGAAAUUUCUAUGAUAUGAUGGAUCCAACUUAAUAAACCAGGAAGGGAACCAUAUUAGUGCCUUUUUAUCUUGGAGACAUACAGCCCUCCCCCACCCCCCCCCCCCGCCUCUUCUCUUUUGAUAGUGGAUUUUUCAGUCCAUUGAAGAUCCAAAGAAAGUGUAAUACGUGUUUACAAAAUCUAAAUGAUAAGAUUUUCCAUAAAUUAAUCAGUUAUAGUAACCUGGAGGCAACCUACAUGAAUUUUUGACCAAACUACAACAUGAGGUGAUGAGUCUUAAAAUCAAGGCAUGCCAUAAGGUUCGCUGCAAAAUCAUCCUCAUAUAGAAUGUCAAGAGUCAUAUCCUUCAAUGUUUGUGCACAUUCUAGAGGGAAAGGCAUGAUGGACAAAUUAACAUUCGAUAAGCAUUUUCCUGGUCGAUCAGGGAAAGCUAAAAUAUUUGUUGGAGAAUGUUUUAGCUUGUGAGAAUCAGUAUAUUUGAGGGUCUCAAGAAACUCAUAGUUAAUAUAAUGGCUGUUAGUUAGUAUGGAGCCUUUCAUAUGCCAUAACCUUAUGUUCUUUUCUUUGAUACAACAAAGAAGUAUCAAGAUGCCAGCUGAUUGCGAAUUUUUAUAACUUUAUCGAGAAAUAUUUCAGCUAAAACUAGCAACCAAAGCCCAAGUGACUGAUAUGGUACUUUCAGGGCUGUGUGGCAUUAUGUUUAUUAUUAUAUAUUACCUUUGUGUUCAAAAUAUCAGUUGAAGCUAUGACCAUGCAUCACACUAGAAAUUAUUUGGUCAAACUGUAACUUUUGAAAUGGAUGAGAAAAACAGUACAAGAAAUUGAGGAAUCUCUAUAACUCUAACAAAGAAACAUAUAACUUUCAAAAUCCUCGAAAGAUCUGCUUUCUGAUAGGAAUUACAUAGACUGACUGGCCAUGUUGAGGCCCUUUGGUGUGUCAUCAUCUUUUGACUUGGACUUUAGCUUAUUAUUUGUUUCCAGCACAUCUAUAGAACCAUUCUCCUACAAUUUUGAGAUUUCCUAAAUAUCCUAGCUACACCUCACUUUUAGGUAAGUAAACAUUGAAAAAGAUAUGAUGAACAUUUUGUUGACCACAUUAUAGUACUUGUUUUCAUUGGCUUUCUCGGGUGCCUCAUAUUACAUGUCAUGCUCAUGACUCAUCACAUAGUGCAUUAUAGAGAGCUUCAGCAUUAUCUCCAAAUUAGUUGGCUGAAAGAUUGACAUAGCAUUACAGAACGUUUUAGCCAUUAUGCUAAAAAUUUGUGCUGCAAACCACAAAAUCUUAGCUGCAUGUCCUUAAGUGGGUUAUGGAAUUACCUAUAAGCCUUUGAAGACCGUCAACUUUCUUUUUCCUAUAAAAUGUGUUACGUUCAGUCAAGAUACAGGAAGCUAAAUGCAUAUCUUUAGAUCUGUUAGUAGGUCUAAGCCAUUAGACUAUCCAACAAUAUUUAUAAUACAAGAAUUAAAGUCACAUAAAAUGGCUAUCCUGCUAUAUCUUUAAUACAAGAAUUAAAGCCACAUAUUUGUGGUUUUAUUGUUCUAUUUUCUGCUCUUAAAGUCUGCUUUUUGAUUAUCCAGUUAUUCCCAGACUGCAGGAAUAAAUGCAACGUCAAUGUCAACGGUCCUUGAUAUCACAGUUUAAUAGCUUUGUACUGAAUUUUGGAGCCAAAAGACAUCCAGCUGAUACUUGUAAUAAAUCCUUCAUCCAUAAAAUUUUACGAGACCUACACCAUAAAAUUUUAGGAGACUUAUCCAGAUACAAAGAUUUAUGUAGCAUCACCAUGCAAAUUGUGACCUUAUUUAAGUAACAACCUUAUCUGAACUUGCUUACUCCCUGGAUGUCCAUGUUACUGCCAAAGUGCUUUGCAGAUAAUACCCUGCCUUUUUUUGUUUUUUUUUAAUUCUUUGGAUCCCAUAUCUGGUGAAACAUGGACGAUGUUAAGCCUCUACAGAGCAAGUUGAAGAAUGAUUUGAAACUAUCAUAUUAUGUAUUUUUGCUCCAUAAAUUGGAUUUUGUAAUUAAUUUUAAAAGAUCUUAUGCCAAGGUACAAUUAUAGUUUUACAUCAUCAUAUUCAUGGUCUAAAAACUUUCUAUAGAUUUAUUAUUUUUUAGAAUUAUUUUCUGAAACAAAAAUGGACUCAAAUUGUUGUAACUUUAGAUGAUAAAGUUUCUAUGCUUAUGUUUUUGAAGUUUUCUAUGUCUGCUUACUGCGAUCUUCUCUGCAUCUUUAAUUAUUUUAUUUUCCUUUAGAUUUCUUAAAUUCUCUGUCCUAUUAUUCACCACCUGUCUCACCUAUCUCAUGGAUUUCCUGUAAAUUUUUUGCUGAUGUUCUUGAAACAGAAUCUGGCCAUGGCUAUUGAUAGUGAGUAUGAUAACUAUUUACAAGAAGAUGGGUCACCAACAGGAGAGAGAGUGAGUGGAGACACUGCCAUGGCGGUUUUAACGAGAACAGAGCUGGACCUAGCAUAUUCUUCGGAAAAAUUACUGAACUUGGAGAUACUUUUGAUGCAAGUGUCAAGCAGAGCAAGUGAUUUUGAAGCUCUGACCACAGAGUAUGAGGACAUCUCUAAUGAGUCCAUUGAGAAGGCCUUUGAAUUUGAUGCUUUGUCUGGAAUUUUGAACAUGGAGGUCAAAGAACUAGACAACUUUAUGGCUUCGCUCCAAAUGGAAAUCAUGGAUGCCCACCCGAAGCUUUCUUGGGAUGACCACUUGGGAGAAUCAUCAAUAAAAAUAGAAGAGAAGUUGCGUGAUGCUGAGGAAUCCAUAAAGCAGUUACAAGAUUUAGUUGCUGAUAUUAGAAUGCAAUCAGCCAAGUUUGAAGGAACCCUAGCUUUUGCUCAUAAUGAAACUCGUAAGUCAAAAUCAUUUUCUUUGGAGCUAUGUUAAUGUCAAGAAUGAAGAUGGAUUCAAUUUCUAGAUUAUUGCAUGCUUUUGAACAGGGACUGGUGGAGAUGAAGAGAUGGAGAAUGGCCAUUUUUCUUCCAUGAAUAGUAAGUGGAAACUGCAGACAGUGGAUCAGCAAAGACAUCUUCUACAGAUACUGGAGAAAUCUUUGGCCAGGGAGAUGGAUCUUGAAAAGAAGCUGUCAGAUUCAAGAUCUAAUGAAGAGGACCUCAAAUUAAAGCUGCACUAUGCAGAAAGGGAGUCAUAUUUAAUGGAAGAAACACUGGAAAUGAUUUUGGAGAAAAUGUUUGAGGCAGAAAAUGCUGCCGAGCUCCUUCUGGGCAUUGCAAAAGAAUUAAUAGGAAAGUUCCAGAUUGUUCAGCUAAACCUAAAUGGGUCAUUACAUAGAGAAUGUGAAAUGAGAACCAAGUUGCAGGAAAGUAUGACGAAAUUAUCUGCUGAAGAAAGUGCUCUGGAGAAGCUGAAAACUAGUUGUGCAGAACUUGAUAACAUCCUUGUAGUACAAGAAAAUGGCCUAAAAGCCAGCCUUAAAGAAGCUGAUUGUAAAUGCAUGCUUGUUAGUUCUGAUGUCUUGACUUUAAUAGAAAAGGUGAGAGCACUUGAGGAGCAGUUAAGUGAAUCUGAUAUCCAGUUGCAGAUGGCAAAGGCCUCUGUGGAAGCUAGUCAGGAACAGCAGACUUUGUUACAUUCUGAACUUAGUCAGCUGGAAAAUGUAAUUGAGGGUCUGAAGGAAAAUGUCUGGAAAACAGAAAGCAGGGCUGAAAGUGCAGAAGCUAGGCGUAUGCAAUUAACUAAAACUAACAUGGAACUUAAUGAGAAGCUAGGUUUACUUAGAAAAAGUGGAUCAGAAAAGGCAAUAUUGUCAGAGACGAAGCUCAAGGAAUCAAAUAGACAGUUAGAACAUGCAAAAGCAUCUGUUGAAGCGAUGGAGCAGCAGCAGAAUAUGUUAUACACUGCACUUAGUGAUAUGGAACAUAUUAAUAAGGAACUUAAGGGAAAGGUUGCAAAAGCUGAAAGUAGGGCUGAGAAUGCUGAAUCUAAGUGUACUCUGUUAACUGAAACCAAUUUGGAACUAAAUGAAGAGCUGGGUUAUGUGAGAAGCAGAUUGGAAUGUUUAGAGACAUCUUUGAAUCAGACCGAUGAUGCGAAAGUAGCCACUGCCAAGGACAUUGGUAUCAGGAGUAAAAUCAUUACUGACCUUGUUAUGAAACUAUCAUUGGAAAGAGAGUGUCUUCAAUUACAGGUAUGCUCUGAUCACUUCCCUUUUCUUUUGCUUGUUUCCGUUUAUGAUUCUCACUAGUUUGAUUAGAUGAUGAAGAUUUUUUUUGAUUGUUUACCUUCACUCUGUGGAAGAGGAAUGAGUCUCCUUUCUAAUCACGUUUUCAUCUUUUCUUUAUAGGGUAUAAUAGGCAAUGUUUUAUAAGACCAUAGGCAGCAGAAGGGCAGCCAGGUAGCUGCCUAGCACCUAAGUGCUGCACAGGUGCCUAGGCAUGCACCCAGAGGUCAAGGCAGCCCAAAAUAGCAAAUAAAAAAAGGAAAAAAAAGAAAAAGGCCAAAAAAAAUUAUAAACUAAUGAAUGAAAAGUAUGAUAUCAAACAAGGUGUGAUAGGCCACUGGGAACUACAACCAGGCAACAUCUAAUACUAGUUUAUUAAUCAGUCUCAUCUUACAUACUCAAAAACAAUAUACAAUGUUAAGAUGGGUGCCUAGGCACAUCAUCUAGGCGGCCAAGUCAGCCAUCUUCUAAAACCAUGAUCAUAGGACUGGGUGCACUUCUUUGUCAACUUGCUUAAAUCAAGCACAACCUUGAAGUCCUUCAUUUUUAUAUUGCUCCCAGAAUGACAAUGCGUAAAGUUCAACUUGAUGCGUAGUUAAGGAACCUCCAUAACACUUAUCUUCUAGCUUUAACUAUUUUAAUGUUUUACAUCAUGAAUACCCAUGUGAAUGUUUAUUCAGAUGGCGCAUCAUUGAUUUCGCUUCAAUAGGCUACAUAGGAUGCCUACAUCAAUAUAGAGUCAUUGAUGAUAUAUGUGAGAAGCCUAGACAAUUACAAACUUGCAAGCUCCUAUAUAGAAAUGUUCCAUAUUUUGGGACAUUCAUACUGGAAACAAGUACACAAAUCAUUCUAUAUCUCUUUUGGCCAAUGCAGACAUAUUUUAUGUUGUGUCAAAAAAAAAUGCAGAUAUAUUUUAUCUCUUAGACCUUGGUAAGGAGAUGUGCUCUUAUUUGUAAAGGAUUAGAAAUAGAAAUUGUUAAGUACACUUCGAUCUAAAUUCCAUGGAUUCCAUGGAAGCAUCUCGACAAUUUCUUCAACUGGAAAAAUUAACCCUUGAUGCAUAAAAUAUACAAGCAAGAAAGGGGAUGGAGCUUGUUAGUUAUGGUUAUUUUUGUCUUCGACAUUGGUUGCUGGAGAUAGCAGAUAUUUGUUGCCUAUACUCUUGUCUCACUAGCAUGAUGAACUGUUUUUGAAUUGGAUCAGUGCCUCAGAUCAUAAAUGAAUUUAUGUUAUCAUAGAUGUAUUAAAACUACUCAAAAGUAAAUGUGUAUAAGUAUCUUUAUAUUCUUGGAUAUGAUUGAAAAGCUUUACUAACAAAUUUAAUUGUAAGUGAUUUGCCAAAAAUUUCAAUCCAGCAGAUAUAUACAUUUACAGAAAGGCUUAGUUUUCAGAUUGUCCUAUGCACAUUUCCUCAUUUAAUGUACAUAAAGCUGCACUCUUUAAAAGCAUGCAUUUUUUUUCCUUUUUUUGCAUGCAGAUAUCUGCAUUAAGAAAAAAGAACAAAGUCCUGGCGGAGAGAUGCAAAACAAAGGAUAAUGCCCCUAUUACUCCGAGCCACAAGGGCAGCGAUGAUGGGAAUGAAUUUAGUAUCCUAAAACAAUCUGAAGAAGCAUUAACAGAAUCUUCAACUACAAAUUUCCAGGUAGUCAAUUUUUUAAUAUUCAUAUGUUUCUUUAAUGAAGUAAGCUUCAGAUAGGGAGAUAAUGAUAGUUUUAAAAUAUUUUUGCACUGACAUGUUAAAUGUCAGUAUUACAGAAGAAUUUGGUUAUCAUGGUAGUCAAGUGGAAAAUAAUAAUUUUUCCCAACUUACGCGCAUAUAUUCGUGCAAUGAUAUAGUUUAUAGCAGUUGCAGGCUUCAUGUUUGGUAGCAAGUACAUGUGUAUAUGAAAAAUUAUUUUAGCAUAUGUUGGUAUUUCAGUCAUGUAUGGAGACAUAAGUGAUGGGUUGCAUCUGUCAGCAUAAUAAGCAAGUAUGGAUGCAUGCAUAAAGUUACUAGUUGUGCAUUCUGAGAAGAAAUAUUGGAGGAGCGAACUCAGUUCUCUCAAAAUAGGAUAAAGAUUCUGCAGAAGAGUCUUGAAUUUUUGUACUUGUAAUGGUACCAGAAUGAAGUGGAAUACAUUUCUAUGUCUCGGAUUUAAUUUUUCUAUGAUGUUUCUUACACAGCAUAUAACUAUAUCUGAGGAGGAAAUUGAACUGGUUUGCAGUAAUCUCUGACUAAUACUCUUGGAAAUUAGCUAAAAUGAGUAAUGGAGCCCCCUUGUGGAGCUCUAUUUCACAUCUUCAGAUACACUUCUGGCAUACAUCCUAUGUUAUAGCCAAUAGAUUGAACUGCAGGAGUCUAUAAGAUUUUUCCUUUUCUUUGACCCUUCAAACUUAUCUAUUAGUUAGUCAUUUCAGUUGGACAGCUGACUAUGUUUACCAUUGCUCCCUUCUUGAAAGAAAUUAACCUUCUUGUUCAGAUCUUCAAGUAUUUCAGAUGUCAAUCUCUUUUGGCUCCAAUUGGAGUAGAAUAAUCUUCUGUUUAUGUCUUGUAGUGAAUUUGGUUAUCUACUUUAGCAUACUUAUCUCCAACAUAUCUUUAGAACCAUGCUGUUGAUGUAAUAUUCGUUUUCCACUUUGAUUAGUAUAGCAGGUCAACAACGAUGAAGAGAUAAGAUCAUUCCUUAAGUGACUUGAUAAAGUUGAUAUAAUCCAUCUUAUUGAACUUGUUGAGAAUUUUAUAGGCUCUUUUGUUUUUAUUUAGCUUGGAUAUGUGAUGAAUUAGUGCCAUUUAUACAUCAUUAUGUCUCACUCAUUAAAUAAAUAAAAUUUUUAGAUAACACAAUUGGUGACUGAAUAAAAGAGAGAUAAAUGCAAAAUUCUAACAUCAAAAAAUUUUAAAAGGUUGGUGAAAAUUAGAGGAAAUCAAAACAGUAGUUGUAACAACCCAGGACCUCACCCAAAAUGGCUAGCCGAUAGGUAUUAUUUUGGUUCCUUGAUCCUGUAUAAGUACCCAAGAUUUACCUAGCAAAUAACCGAUGUGGUAUUAAACACAUGCCCGCACGGGUCCUCACAUACUCCCUCCGUUCAAGCCCUGAUGUCCUCAUCAGGUUAAGGGUUCAAAUCCAUUCAAAUCUAAUCACAAACACCACGAUCGGCUCGUGGUCAAUCCCAAUGGAUCCGUGCUACAGUGUUUCCUAGUCCUCAUAGGUUAUGAACCAACCUGGCUCUGAUACCACUAAAUGUCAAGCCCUGAAUUCGGAUCAUGACACAGCCGUACUAUUGCAACCUUAUGCAUACAAUAACAUGAAGCCACUUAAAAUUUCAUAUCAAAAAUGAACAAUUUUAGUUACAAAUGUUAUAAUAAGUUUCAUCAGAAUGGAACGGUGCAGAGCUUCUAAAAUUUUAACAUUUGAUAUUCAAUUUUUCCAAAUCCUGAAGUACAUCAAGCUCCUUGCUCCUAGCAAUCUUAAUUAUCUGAAAAAAAUGGAUAAAAUGGUGUGAGCUAUACGGCUCAGUAAGUAACCAUGCACAAUCUUAGCAGAUCAAGCUUAAUGUGCUUUAUGCCAGUGCAUUAAUUUAAGAAAUUAACAAUUGUAACAAAGUAAGCAUUUUAUAUAGCAUAUAUUCAAAUCAGACAUAAAAUAGUGGAUGCCCAAUCAUGCAAGUUCAUAAAUAUGAAUGUGCAUCAUAUAAAAUUCUUGUCAUUAUUCAUGCUUUGAAAUCCGUACUCUCAGAUGAUAAUGCAGCUAUGGCCGCUCUUAUUCCCAUGGCAAGGCCUUUACCAACUAUUAUUCUCCAUUGGCAGGGUCUAUACCAAUUUACUAUUACCCACUAGCGGGGGUCGUAUACCGAGUUACUGAAUUCAAGGAUAUUCUAUGAUCAGUACUUUCCUAAGUCACUAAGGCUAUUAAAGGAGAAUGAGUUUGUCUUUGAGGCAGUCAAAGAAUAUGACAGUGCUGCAAUAUGCUAACAAAUUCAAUGAAUCAGGUCGGUUCUGUCCUCUGCUUAUGGAGGACGAUCAGAGCAAGGCCAAUAGAUUUGAGCAGGGCUUGAGAUACAAGAUUUGAUCUCGGUUGUCAGUUCUGAUUUUUACCAGUUACAGGGAGUACUGGACAGGGUUCUGAAAGUUGAAGCUGAACUGGUGAGAUCAGAAAAAGAAAGAGGUGACUAGAAGAGGCCUAGGAUAUCGGGGAGUCAGCAUGUUAGGCCAAGGAACUUUGGGGGUAAUGCAAACAAAAAGAAAUUCGGGGCCUGUACCUUCUGUGGCAAGUCUCAUAGUGGGCCGUCUUAAAAAGAUAGGAGCAUGUUUCUAUUGUGGUCGCUUGAACACAUAGCACGUGACCGUCAGAAGAAGAAUGACCCAAGACCUACUGGAUCAGGUGAUCAGAGGCAGAAGGGGACUGCUCGGGUGUUCGCGCUGACUCGACAGGACAUCAGUGCUAGCAACAGGGUGGUGACAGGUACUAUCCCCAUCAACUCUGUUGAUGCAUCUAUAUUAUUUGAUUCUGGCUCUACACAUUCUUUUGUAUCUGCUAAAUUCUUUGGAUCCUUGCACUGCAUACCGGAGAAAUUAGAAGCGCCACUAUAUAUUGCUACACCCCUUCAGAAAAUGGUAGUUGCUGACAUUAUAUUAAAGAAUUGCAUAAUUCAAAUAGGAGAAAGGGAGUUAGUGACAGGCUUAAUACAGUUAGAUAUGCAAGAUUUUAAUAUCAUUUUGGGGAUGAACUGGUUGUCCAAGUAUCAUGCUCACAUAGACUGUUUCUGAAAGAGAGUAGUUUUCCAGAUACCAGGAGAGCUGGAGUUCUUCUAUUAGGGCGAUACGCCCAUACAAUGUAAGUGCUGCUUACAUUUUAUUUCUGCUAUAUGUGCAAGUAAGGCAUUAAGAAAAGGGUGUCAGGCCUAUUUAGCUUAUGUGGUAGAUACUCAAAUAGAAACAAGGCUGGAUGAUAUUUCGGUUGUGGGAGAAUACUCAGAUGUUUUCCCUGAUGAGCUAUUCGAGUUGCCUCCUGACCGAGAGAUUGAUUUCAAGAUUGAUCUCGCAUCGGGAGUUGGACCAAUCUCCAAGCCUCCUUACCGGACAACUCUUGUUGAACUGUGUGAAUUAAAGGUCCAACUACAAGAGCUUCUAGAGAAGAAAUUCAUCCGGCCUAGUGUCUCUCCAUGGGGAACCCCUGUCUUAUUUGUGAAAAAGAAGAAUGGGAGCAUGAGACUGUGUAUUGAAGAAUAAGUAUCUCUUGCCUCGAAUUGAUGAUAUGUUUGACCAGCUACAAAGUGCACAAGUAUUCUCAAAGAUAGACUUGUGGUCUGGUUAUCAUCAAUUAAAAAUUAGAGUCGAGGAUGUGCCCAAGACAGCGUUUCGGACUAGAUAUGGUCAUUUUGAAUUUUUGGUUGUCUUUUGGACUAACGAAUGCUCCAGCUGCCUUUAUGGACCUGAUGAACAGGAUCUUCAAGCAGUUUCUGGAUCUGUUUGUCAUUGUAUUCAUUGAUGUUAUACUGGUCUACUCCAAGAGCAAGGAAGAGCAUAAAAAUCAUUGGAGGUUAGUACUGCAGACUCUACGGGAGAAGAAAUUAUAUGCCAAGCUGAACAAAUGUGAAUUCUGGCUGGAUAGCAUUGCAUUUCUUGGGCAUAUGAUCUCUAAAAAUGGAAUUUCAGUGGACCCAAAGAAGAUUGAAGCAGCGGUGAACUAGCCUCGUCCUGCCAAUAUGACUGAGAUCAGAAGCUUCUUGGAUUUGGUUGGAUAUUAUAGGAGAUUUGUAGAUGGAUUUUUUUGGAUAGCCACUCCUUUAACUCGUUUGACUCAGAAACAAGCAAAGUAUGAAUGGAGUGAGGAAUGUGAGCAGAGUUUCCAAGAGUUGAAGCAGAGAUUAGUAUCUGCUCCUAUUCUCAUCCUACCAUUCGGUACGGAAAGUUUCAUUAUUAUAAUGAUGCCUCGAAGAAAGGAUUGGGUUGUGUGUUAAUGUAAAAUGAUAAGGUGGUGGCAUACGCCUCUAGAUAGUUGAAACCCUAUGACCAGAACUAUCCUACACAUGAUUUGGAAUUGGCAGAGGUAGUCUUUGCUCUAAAGAUUUGGCGACACUAUCUAUAUGGAGAGCCAUGUGAAGUCUUCACUGAUCAUAAAAGCUUAAAGUACAUAUUUACACAGAAGGAGCUUAAUAUGAGGCAGGGGAGAUGGCUUAAGCUGCUAACAGAUUAUGACCUGAAUAUAAAAUAUCAUCCGGGAAAGGCUAAUGUGGUGGCUGAUGCUUUUAGCAGAAAGUCAACAGUAGGCACUACAGCUCUACUCACCACUCAAAAGCAAAUUAUCAAGGAUCUCAAUAUGAUGCAGAUUGAGGUGACUGCUACGGGUGCUGGAGGUAUGCUAGCUAGUCUGAUGGUGCAACCGACAUUGCUUGAGAAAAUUAAGAUUGCACAACAGGCUGAUGCCCACUUAUAUCGGCUUAAAGAAGAUGUGGAAGGAGGGUUGCGACCCGAGCUUAGAAUUCACCAAGAUGGUACUCUUCGAUUCGGAAACAGAUUAUGUGUACCAAAUGAUGAUGAAUUGAAGAGAAAAAUUAUGGAGGAAUCCUGCUUCUCUAUUCAUCCAGGUAGCACAAAAAUGUAUAGAGAUUUAAGGGAGCAUUUAUGGUGGAAUGGUAUGAAAAGAGAGAUAGCCAGUUUUGUAGCUCGAUGCCUAGUAUACCAGCAGGUGAAAGCUGAACAUCAGAGUCAUCUAGUGUACACAAUAUCUUCCAUGUUUCUCUACUACAAAAAUACAUUGCAGAUCUUAAUCAUGUGGUAGAGUAUGAGCCAUUACAGGUUGAAAAGGAUCUGACAUAUAAAGAGUUUCCUCUACGCAUACUUGAUCGCAAAGAGCAGGUCUUGAGACGGCGCACCAUUCCCUAUGUGAGGAGGAUUCAGUGGAGCAACCAUUCGGAUAGAGAGGCGACUUGGGAGCUAGAGGAUGAAAUGCGUGCGAGGCAUCCACAAAUUUUGAAGACUCAGGUUUGUAAUUUCGAGGAUGAAAUUUUUUUGAGCGGAGAAUGUGAGAAUAGCCCAAUUUUUUUAAGGAGGAGAGAAUGUGAGAAUAGCGCCCCCCCCCACCCCAAAAAAAAGGGGCUGAAGCUGACAGUCCCAGCCGACUUCAGCCCAGGGCCCUUUGCUCAUGCGUUAAGAGGGCGGAGACGAUGCGGCGACUCCAUCACAACGGUGAAUGAGCCACGAUCAUUUCGAAAUCAUCUCAUAAAAGAAAAGGAAGAAAGAAAUUUUCGAUUCCAUCUCUUCCCUCACAGUGCAUCUUCCUUCUUCCUCUAGGGAUAGGGCUUCCUGCAGCUGGUGCUACCGGAGAGAGUAGUCGCAACUUCCUCCCGAAGCGAGGUAAACCCUAACUCCUAUUUCUUUUUACCCCAUGAUAACAAAAUAAAAGAUAAGAAGAAGAAAAAGAAGGGAAGUCAUGGCCUCGGAAAGAGAGGGAGAGCCGUGACUCAAUCACAGGGGGAGGGCUUUAACUCCCCUCCUCUGCCGCGAUGUGGUCUGGGAGAGGAGCCGCCGGCCGCAACCGCAGACACUGUCGGCUCUCAGCCAAGCUGCAGCGUGCCGGAGGUCCCUCUUCUCGAUGGGGAGUGGUUUCGACCGACUUCCCCCAUCUCUCCCACCAAAGAAGUGGCAGAAGAAANNNNNNNNNNNNNNNNNNNNGGAGGUCCCUCUUCUCGAUGGGGAGUGGUUUCGACCGACUUCCCCCCAUCUCUCCCACCAAAGAAGUGGCAGAAGAAAAUAAGAAAAGAAAGGAAGAAAAAAAAAGGAAAGACUCACCGGUCUGCAGCCACUGUCGGCGUUGCGUGCGGCCGUGAGCGUCGCCGGCACUACGUUAGCAGCGGGCGGCUACCGCAGGUAGGCCGGGGGCGUCGGCCGACGCCCUCGGUCGGGCCUGUGACCGACGUAGUGCCGGUGACGCUCGCGGCCGAAUCCAACGGCUGCCGCACGCGAUGCCGACGGUGGCUGCAGACUAGUGAGUCUUUCCUUUUGUCAUGCCCCAAAUCCAGAUCAUGACACGGCCGUGCUAUUGCAAUCUUAUGCACACAAUAACACGAAGUCACUUAAAAUUUCAUAAUAAAAAUAAAUAGUUUCAUUUACUAAUGUCAUAACAUUAUUCAUGAAGUUGGAACAGUACAGAGCUUCUAAAAUUUGAUUAUUACAUAAUAUUUUUAGUUAUCCCAACCCUGAAUAACACCAAGCUCCCUACUUCUAGUAGUCUUAUUCAUCUGUACGAAAAAAAAUAGGAAAAAGUUAUGAGCUACAUAGCUCAGUAAGUAACCAAGUACUAUCUUAUUGGAUUAAGUAUAAUUAUGCCAAUGCAAUAUUUAAAAAGCUAACAGUUAUAGCAAAAUAAAGCAUUUUAUAGAUGAUAUUCACAAAUCAGGUCAUAAAGCAAUGCAUGUUCCAUCAAUGAAAAUUCAUAAAUAUGAAUAUGCAUCAUAUAAAAUUCUUGCCAUAUUUCUUGCUUUGAAAUCCGUAAUCGCCAUUAUUCAUGCUUCGAAAAUCGUGCUCUCAGAUGGUAGUGCAGCUAUGGUCACUAUUAUUACCCAUGACAGGGUCGUAAUAUUCACCUACUACUAUUACCCGUUGGCAGGGCCAUAUGUCGAGCUAUUAUAACCCGCUGGCGAGGGCCAUAAUCUUUGCCAACUAUUAUUUUCCGUUGGCAGGGUCUACACCAAGCUAUUAUAACCUGCUGACGAGGGCCGUAUGCUGAGCUAUUAUAACCCGCUGGCGAGGGCCGUACAUAGCAAUCUAAGAGUUCGUAAAUCAUUAUUCUUUUUCAUUCAUAAAUCAUAAUUAUCAUAAAUAGGUUGGAAAAUGAUAAAUGGCAUCAUAUAAUUUAAAAUACAUAAGCAUGUCUCAAAUAUUNNNNNNNNNNNNNNNNNNNNNNNNNNNNNNNNNNNNNNNNNNNNNNNNNNNNNNNNNNNNNNNNNNNNNNNNNNNNNNNNNNNNNNNNNNNNNNNNNNNNNNNNNNNNNNNNNNNNNNNNNNNNNNNNNNNNNNNNNNNNNNNNNNNNNNNNNNNNNNNNNNNNNNNNNNNNNNNNNNNNNNNNNNNNNNNNNNNNNNNNNNNNNNNNNNNNNNNNNNNNNNNNNNNNNNNNNNNNNNNNNNNNNNNNNNNNNNNNNNNNNNNNNNNNNNNNNNNNNNNNNNNNNNNNNNNNNNNNNNNNNNNNNNNNNNNNNNNNNNNNNNNNNNNNNNNNNNNNNNNNNNNNNNNNNNNNNNNNNNNNNNNNNAGGGACCACGAAUGGCUAGGAUGCGGCUUCGGCUUGGAAUGGAAGGUUGCAACGCUGGUUGGGAGCUGAUCUGGAUCAUUGGAUGCGGACACGGAGAUGCUCGCGAUGUUGUGUUGUAUCGCGGGAUGAAGUCAGGAUGUGCAGGCCCUAGAAGAUGCUGGAUUGACUUGAGCUUGGGCUGCCGGGCAUUGGGCCCAAACCCGAUAUUAUUGGGUUUCUUGGAUUACUUGCACUCAAACACAAA